CUGGGUUUAGACCGUCGUUAGACAGGUUAGUUUUACCCUACUGAUGGAGUGUUAUCGUAACAGUAAUUGAGCGUAGUACGAGAGGAACUGCUCAUUCAGAUAAUUGGUCUUUGCGCCUGUCCGAUCGGGCAAUGGCGCGAAGCUAUCAUCUGCUAGAUUAUGGCUGAACGCCUCUAAGUCAGAAUCCAUGCCAGAACGGGGUGAUUUCCACCUG
rnacentral:rRNA from 11 species